rnacentral:tRNA from 1 species
GAUUAGCUCAGCGGUAGAGUAGUCGGCUGUUAACCGAUUGGUCGUAGGUUCGAAUCCUACAUCCGGAGCCA